CUCCAUAAAAUAAACUUAAAUACAUAUAUAUACAUAUACCAAAACAAAAUCAUCACUAGCCAUUCCAAUGGAUAGAUUACAAUAAUCAUUUACAUUUACUUUCCAAUAUGGCCAAUAUAACCUAUACAUGCCAUUUUAACCACAAUUGAUUUACCAUAUUGUACCGACAUGGGCUGAUGGAUAGUGUGAGUGAUCUCUGCCAAGCUUCCAAUCCAACAAGCUUCCGAUUUACUAUAAAACAGGAAAAUAAAAAUAAGUAAGCAUAAAAUGCUUAGUAAGUUCGUAUAACAUGGUACUUAAUUUACCAUUCAUUCUAUUUUGAGGUAACUAUGUAAGGAAUAUUCAAUUAAUUUGACCUCAAGCCCUACACACAUCCUCAUUGCCCUUGUUAGUCAUAUAUUCCAUAAUAACAUCAAAACAUAUAUGGGCUCAACAACAAUCAAGGUUCCAAGCACAUAUGCUUUCCACAACAUGAAUUCAGUCAACAUGCAUAAUUCAUCUCAUUAUUACAAGUAUAAUUUCAUACUAGUUCAUUUCGAGUUCAGAUCGUUUCAUAUCAGAACUUUACUCAUAUUACUCGGAAUAUCAAGGUCACGAUUAGUACACUCAAGUUGUAUAAGUCUAUAAUCAAGAAUAAACAUAUAUUCAUCAAAUAAAGUCCAUAUACAAUUAUCAUCAUCUCAUGUUUUCAUAUAUCAUUUGUCAUGCAUCAUUAUUUCCUUGUACUUUUGACGGAUAUGUGUAAUAACUCAUUUCUUAUUAAUAUAUUCUCAUGUCAAGAUUUUUACCCGUUGAAUUUAUCUGAAAUAUCGAUGGUUACAUAGGUAGUACACUCAAGGUGUACAAAUCAGGAUCCUUCCAUUCAUAUUCAAUGGUACCCAUAAGUUACUAUUUCAAAGAAUACAUUCUCGAGCCACACAUAUAUACAACAGGAUUACUAGUUCAGGCUAAAUCAUUUUUAUGACAUAUGCUCUAAAGAGCUUAAUCUGGAUUACCCGUCCGGGCUAAAUCCAAUCCAUAACAUAUGCUCGAGAGGGCUUAUAUCAGGAUUAACGAUCUGGGCUAAAUACUUUUAGAAAUACGGUCAAUAGGAUUACUCUUCCGAGCUAAAUCCCACCAGCAACAAAUGCGGGACCUCAUUCAUUUCGAGAAAUCACAUUUAUCCAUCGAUUUUCAUUUAUUCAAACGAAAUUUAACAUUUUUCAAGUAUUAUUGGGCAUGUGAUUAUUUCAUACAUCUAUAAUCAUCCAUAUAAUUCAAAUGAUCACAUUCAUAUUCAUUCCAAGCAUAAAAGUAACAUUUUCAUCGUUUAUCAUUUAUCAUCUAUCGGACAUUAUCAUUUAAUUUAAACAUUUUUAUUUAUCGGGUUUGAUCGGAUAUGUAAUCAUUUCACAUAUUUAUCAUAUUUAUACAAUUUACAUAAACACAAUCAAUGCAAGCAUGUAAAUAAACACAAUUUAGUUACACGAACUUACCUUGACAAAUGUUCGUGUACAUAACAUCUACAAAUCUGAAAUUUUCCUCUUUUCCCCAUUCUAGUUCUGAAUUUGGUCUAUCCGGAUCUAUACGAGUAAAUUUUACAUCAAUUUAUCACAUUUCAUAUUCAAGUGGACUCAAUUUACAUCCUAGGAAAAAUUAUCAUUUUGCCCCUAACUUUUCCAUAAAUUCUCAUUUUGUCCCUAGGCUCGAAAAAUGAAAUUUAUGCAAUUUACUCCUAUUCCAAGCCUAACCAAAGUUUCAACAUAAAAUUUAUAGCACAUAUUUUCUAAAAAUUUCAAAAUUUUUCAUCAAUUUUCACAGCUUUACAUUUAGUCCCUAAAUCAUGUUUUCAUCAAAAAUCACUUUGUAAAAAUUGUUUAUCUAUCAACAACCUUUCAUUUUCUACCAUAAAUUUCUAAUUUUCAGCAUAUACAUCCAUGACCCAAGUUUCAUACUUUGAUAACUUUUCAAAUUAAUCCUCCAAAUAGAUAGAUUAAGCUAUCCUGGUUUCAAAAAUUUUAAUUAUUGUUUUCUUUAUUUUAAGCUUUUAAUUUAAAUUUAGUUUUUAAGUUAGUUUUAGCUUUCAAUUUUAUAAAAAUCCACUUUCAAUUUAAUUUUCUUCUUUUUGCUUAAGAAAUAAAGUUAUUACCAAUCUCCGAGGAUACAACCCUACUUGCUACUUACUACUAAUUCAUCUUUUUCAAUUAGAUCUUUAUUUUUGUAAGUCUUGAUAGCCUAACAAUUGUAUGCUAGAUUGUCAGUGUGAAUAACUAUCGCAAAAACUUGUUUAUACAUAUAAAAUGACUUAAUGAUUAGAUGCCUCCAGUUAAUAGCUAAACUAUUACUUUUGAGAACAAAAUGUUUUGUAUAUGUAUAAGGGUGUGAUAUUUUACAUGCAUUAACACUUUUACGCAUCAUGUUGAUAAGUUAUGAUAAAUACUAACUAUUACAAUUGACUUUUGGUCAAGAGCCAAAUGGCACCCAUUUUAGAAUUUUUGAAUGUGCGGUAUAUAUUUAAGUUACUCCACAAUACACAAAAAAUAGGUAUUCAAAGAAAGUUGAGAUAUAUAUUAAUUGAGUCUCCUUGUAUUAUUAGAUGUUUUAAAAGAAUUGAAAAUUCAAUUAUGACAUGUGUUUGUGAUUACUAUUUUAAUUUGACAGUUUUCUUCAUAUUAAGGGAGAAAAAUAAUAGUUGGAUGAAAUAAUUACUCGGAAAGAAUUACUAUUAUCUAUAUCCUUAUAAAAUGUAAUUUGAAUAAGAAGUUUAAAAGAUAAUUCACUUUAUUGCAAGUUAACUACUAGAUGCAUUUUCUGACCUAAUGAAAACAACCAAGUCUUAUAUACCAGCUAAUGUUUUGAAUUGAAUUAAAGUCCUACUACAACUUGUUGAGAAUAAAUAAAAGUAAUGCAUGUCUGAAGCAUAGUAGACCAAUUGGUUCCAACGAUGAAAAAUCUCGUAAAAGAAAAUAACAACUCUAGGUGGUUAUAUAAUGAGGGUAAGUGCUUCAAAAGCGACCCAAGACAAAACUAAUCAUUAAAACUCCAAAAAGAGAUUCAUGUAUCUAAAGAUAAAAAUAAUGAAAAUGAAUAGAUCUCAAUAAGUUAUGUCAAUAUGAGAAAAUAUGAAACCAAAAUGAAAAGUUAAUGAAAGUGGUUUUGUAUUUAAUAUUAUUAUUGAAAUAAUGAAAGAAAAUGAGGGUCUUAACAAAAUCUUAAAUAUAGAAUAUAUUGACCAAAAUGGAAAGACACAAUUCACUUGCAAUUUACUUUCUAAAGUUUUUGGACCAGAAGUCCAAACAUUUAAAAGUAUAAAACCAUUGGGGUACAAAUGAAUAGUUUUGUGAAAACGAAAUACAAAAAAUGAAGUUUUUCUCUAAGUUAUGAGGAGAUAUUCUUUAAUGAUGGAUGCAAUAACCUUUAUAUAUCUUAUUAGGCUAGCAGUUCAUGAAAGAUUUGAUAUGUAUUUUAUAAUUAUUAUUACAACAUUUAUAUGAAUCACUAUAUAGUGAAAUUUAUAUUAAAAUUUUUGAAGUAUUUAGAAUGUCAAUAGUAUGUAAAAAUUCUUGGGAAAUUGUUCAAUAUGUUCUAGUAAAUAUUUAUAUAAAUGGAAAUUAUUUGAAUAUAUGUAUUUCUAUAGAAAGAUUUUGAUUAAAGUUUGUUAUGAUUAUUGUUGGUAUUCCUAAAUAGAUCAAACUAUAUUUCCUCAAAAUUCUUCUCACUCAUGACUUUCAAAAGAAUGAUGAUAUAAACAUUUAGCAAAUUCACUAAAGUGAUCAUUUGAAAAGCUAGUAUUCAAUAUUGAAAUAUGUCAACUCUAAGAUAUUAUUUGAUAUUUUCAUGAGAGGGAGUAAAUACAAAUUGUAUUAUUUUUUUCUUAACCGAGAUUUUGUCUCAUCGAGUUUCCUUACUAAGGUAUUAAUGAGACAGCAUGUUAUGCAUAUUAUAGACAUGCCUAAUCUUUUUCCUUCACUAAGAAUUUCUUUUCCAUAGGGUUUUUUCGUAGUAAAGUAUCAAAAAAGCACAUUAUCUAUCAAUGGACGUCAAAUGGAGAGUUAUAAUGUUUUAUUAUAAAGUAGAUGUCCAUUCAGAUAAGAAGUCUAAUGUCCAUUAGGAAUAGAAUAUUAUUUCAUUGAUACUCCAUAUAUCUAUAAAUAUAGACUUUAGAUAAGCAUUGUAUAGAUUCUUAUUGAUGAAUAAAAACACAUAUUUCUCUCUUUAUUCUCUCAUUCUUUAAUGUAUAACAGUUCACAUAUUUAUUAUUAUUAAAUUUAAAUUAACAUUUUCAAAAUUUUAAAAUAAUUAAUUAAUAAUUUGGAUUUGAAUUAAUUAAUUUAGAUAAAAAUCAUAUCCUAAACUUAGGCUUCCUUUGGAAGCAUUUUUACCCACGUUACAAAUUGUUUAAACAGCCUUUUAACUCCAAUUUAACCACAAUUGAUGUUUGGAUAACAUAGGAGUUGCUGAGUUGGCUGUUUUAGAACGUGUUGCAACUUCAGUUUUACACUGAUGGCUUUUGCUCCAGUAGGAAAUUUUGCUUUUCCAUUGUAACACCAUUUUUUUCAGUUUUCCCCAUGUUCUUUUUUUCCUUUUUAAUUUUAACCCAUUAUACUUUUAGGUUUUGUAGUAAACGUAUUCUUUUAAUUAAUUUUAUUAAUGUAUAAUAAAUUAAUACAUAAUUUUGCUAAAAUAUUAUAAGAUAAUAAGUAAAUAAUAUAUAUUAAUAUUUUAAUAGCGUAAAAUAUUAUAUUUUAAUAUUGUAAUUUUGUAAACCCCGUUUAAAUAUAUAUAAAUAUUCUCAUGUACUGUCGUUCAUUUUAAAAAAAAAAAAUUAAUUUAUUUUCUUUUAUUAAAAUAAAUAUAAAAUAAACAUUUUAAUCAUUACUUAAAAUAAAUAUGAUUCUACUAUAUAUUAUAUUGAUAUAAAUAGAACCUUUUUCAUUUUUACAUUCCCACUAUAACUGCAUUUGAAUUUAAACCCAUAUUUUAUCACUUAUUUUAGUUUCAUCACUAUAAUAAUUAACCUCAUUAUCACCAUUAUUUUUAAUCUCAUUUACUCUUUCUCACCCUAUCUAAAUAGACCUUAGUUGAAUUGAAGUAAGAUUAGUCCGGUUAAAAAUUUAGCUAAUCUUUUGGACAAAUCAAAUUUGUUUAGCAUGGACAUACUUUUUAAAAAAAAAAAUUCAAGAAAUAUAAUUAUAGAGUAUAAAAAAGUCUUAGGCUUUAAAAAAACAUAAGUUUGAACAUGUUUUUUAUUAUAAAAAGUAUAAUUAAAAAAAGUCGAUUCUUUGAAAUUAAUACAUAAAUGUGCAAUGUAAUUUAUCUUAUUAAAUUUGGUAUUUUUUUAAAAAAAUUAAAAUAUAUUUUGAAGAAAUAUAUACACAAUUAUUAUCUAUGUCAAAAACUCUAAGUAAAUUUCACGAGUUAAUCGAGUAUGAAUUCAUUUAAAAAAUGAUUAAAAAAGCUAUUCAUUUAAUAAUGUAAAUUAUAAAACCCUAAAAAAAGUCAAGAGUGCUCCCUUGAGUCUCCCAAAGAAACAACGACUACUGUGGUUGGGAAGAAUGCGAGUGGUGACUUGGGGGUAUGGAAGAAGAGAAGGAACUAGCACUCCUUGAAGAAGAAUUGAUCCAGUUAUCGGUAAAGAGUUAGUAAGGCCAUCUGAAAAUCCGACAUUGCUAUGCACUGUUUGGUCAAAGAAAUCUUACAAUCCAGACAGUUUGAGAGCAUAAUUAAAAAGCAUCUGGAAAACAACAAAGAAAUUUGAAAUUCUUCCUGCAGGGCAAAACCUGUUUUCAAUAUCCUUCGAAGACGAGGAAGACUUAGAGCAGAUUAUGGAACGGCACCCAUGGUUUUUUCGAAAACAAUUAUUAAUUUUUGAUCGGAUAACGGAACCAAUGGAGCUGAGCAAAAUCAGAUUGGUUAUUUCUCCGUUUUGGAUGAAAAUUGGACCGUGUCCUCCUGAAUGUGAUAAGAAGGAUUUGAUGCAUGCAGUGGGAUCCACGUUUGGGGAAGUAAUUCAAUCAGAGCCAAAAGGAGAUUUUUGCAGGCUUAGGGUUAACUUAGACGUCUAAAAACCUCUACGAAGAGGUAUUUAUGUAUCUCUGAACAAACAAGGAAAAAUCUGGCUUCCGUUCAAAUACGAGACCCUACCAACGUUUUGCUUCGAAUGUGCUAGGUUAGGACAUGUUGUCAAAAGACUGCAUGAAAGUAUCGCCUGAAGAUCGAGCUAAAACAGAAGAUGAACUACCUUAUUCAAUAGCGCUUACGGCUGAAUCUUCCAUAAUAGGCAAAGAAAGCAUAUGGUACGGAUCCCUAAAAAAGAAAACAAUGAAUCAAUGUUACUAUACAAGCGAGAAAGCAACAGGUAAUGAUGGAAAUUGUUAUACAGACUUAAUGACACAGAAGCACCGAACGAUGACAGAGAAAGAGGCGAAAGGAAUCCCUAUUGUUCAGGAAAUAGGAGAUGAGCGACAAAAUAGUAGGGAUAAUGAAGAUAUUUUAACCCCUCAAAAAAUACCGAUAAUUGUGAAGGACAAGGCAAACAAGAAUCAGAGUGGCAUGGUAGAGAUUCGAAUAGACAAGAUGGGGGUAGAGAAAUUCACCGAAGUGAUAGCAGCUACACAAGUAAAUCAUCACAGAAACAGUUGGCGCCGCUUAGAUAAACAGGAGAAAUUUGAUGUAAUCAUAUCUGAGAUGAUUUGGCGUAAACACAAAUUUAUUCAUGAAAAACAAGUUGAUAUUGACUCAUAUCCCACUAAUGAAAAUAUGAAUAACAGAGUCAAGACAAAUAACGGACGUGUGGAGGGGCAUACAAACAUUGAUGCUGAGCAGGUUGUUUAACAAGAUACUCCAGAAUCGACACAAUAUAUAUCGGCGGCUGCCAAUUGGCAAGCCGACUGGAAUCAAUGAAGAUCCUAAGUUGGAAUGUUCGAGGGUUGGGGAACCCCCGGGCUAUAAGGAGGUUUCAAUACACGUUAAAACUCUACAAACCCCAAUUGGUCUUCAUAAUAGAGACAAAAUUAGAUUGUAUUCGUAUGGAACAGGUUAAGAAAAGAUGUCGUUUUCAGAAUGGGUUGGACAUAUCAGCUUCGGGCACACGUGGUGGGCUAUGUCUUGCAUGGAACGGCAAUUACUUGAUUCAUGUUCGUAGCUAUUCAAAGUACCAUAUCGAUGUUGAUAUUAAAGGAGAGGAUAUUUUAAGUAAAUGGAGGUUUACGAGAUUUUAUAGAAGUCCAAAACAAUCAAAUAAGCAAGAAUCUUGGAACCUUCUUCGAAGGUUAUGAAGUAGAGAAUCAAGGCUAUGGUGUGUGUGUGGAGACUUUAACGAGAUAAUGUAUGCUCACGAAAAGAGAAGAGGAGCUACAAAAGACGAGAGACAGAUGGAGGAAUUUCGGAAGGUCUUAGAUGAAUGUGAAUUGAUUGACAUGAGUUAUACAGGAAAGAAAAAUACAUGGGAGAUGGGUAAUUUUAAGGACACAAAUAUUAGAGAAACACUUGACAGAUGAGUGGCAAAUAAUGAAUGGCUCCAAGUGUUUACUGAUUAUCUGGUACAACAUCUCCCACACUCAUUCUCUGACCAUUGUCUAAUUUUAAUCCAAACGGAGAUAAAUAAUUCACAUGACGGAAGACACCAUUUUAAAUUCGAAUCUUAGUGGCUUCUUGAGCCGACUUGUGCUGAUAUUAUCAAAAAAUUAUGGGAUGAGAAAUCAGGGGAUGCCUUAGAGAAACUGGAAAAUCUUGGAGUUGGUCUACAGAAAUGGAGGCGAAAUAUCAAGGGGGAACACCAUAGAAAAACAAAGAAUCUUCGAAAUCGAUUGGCUGAACUUGAUGGAAUGGAUAGGGAGGACGAUGUAUUAGAACAAAAUUAGGGGUUUGGAAGAUAGUGAUGGGGUUCUCAAAACAGAAAGGGUGGAUAUGGAGUUCAUUAUCAAAGAUUACUUUAUGGGGCUCUUUAAAUCAAAAGGGGUAUGCAACACAAACCACUUUCUUAUGGGUGUUAACAGGUGUAUUAAUGAGGACAUGAAUCAAUUAUUAUUAGCAGAGUAUAAGGAGAAAGAUAUUGUUGAAGCGCUAAACAGCAUUGGGCCAACAGAAACCUCUAGACCUGAUGGUUUUCCAGUUAUUUUUUUCCAGAAAUUCUGGCAUAUUGUGGGAAAAGAGAUUAGUGAUUACUGUUUGAAUUUCCUCAAUAAAGGUAAGUUUUUGAAACCUUUAAAUCAUACAAAUAUAGUAUUAAUUCCAAAAACUGCUCAACCGAAAAACCCUACUCAUUUUAGGCCCAUUAGCCUUUGUUCGAUAUUUUACAAAAUCAUUUCAAAAACCAUUACCAACAGACUUCAAAAAGUACUUGAUUUUUGUAUUGACCCAGCUCUAAGUGCGUUUAUCCCGAGAAGGCUAAUAACAGAUAAUGUCCUCCUAGCCUAUGAAAUUCUACAUACUUUGAGGAACAAAAGGGUAGGGAAAAAAGGCUUACGGCUCUUAAGAUUGAUAUGAGCAAGGUAUACGAUAGGGUGGAGUUGAGGUUUUUGAAACAAAUGAUGCUCAGGAUGGCAUUUGACGAUGAAUGAGUUGCGAAGAUUAUGCAUUAUAUAGACACUGUUUCGUACUCGGUUAUCUUAAAUGGAACUCCAGGAACGGUCUUUACCCCAGAGAGAGGGUUACGACAAGGUGAUCCUCUUAGUCCUUUAUUAUUCCUCAUAUGUAGUGAAGGACUUUCUAUUUUACUUAGAUUAGCAACUGAGGAAGGAAGAAUUAAAGGGAUUAAAGUAAGUAGACGAGGACCUCAGAUCUCUCAUCUUUUAUUCGCAGACGACUGUAUUCUGUUCGGGGAAGCGACUGAGAGGCGAAUAGCGACGAUUGAACAAGUUCUUAAAGAAUAUGAGGAACGCUCUGGUCAAUGCAUCAAUUAUGGAAAAUUGACUGUGUUUUUUAGCUCAAAUACAAGGGAGACAAUUCAGGCUAAUAUUUCAAAUUGGCUGGGAGUUAAUAAAAGGUCCAAUAAUUCGAAAAAUUAUUUAGGCUUGCCAAAUAUGGUAGGUAGGAAAAAACGAAGGGCAUUUCAACAUUUGAAAGAUCGUAUAAAGAUGAAAAUCUAUAGUUGGAAUACCCAUUUUUUGUCACAAGGAGGAAAAGAGAUGUUCAUUAAAGUCGUUUUACAAACAAUUCUAACAUACACAAUGGCAUGCUUUCUAUUACCGUUAUCAAUAUGUAAUGAGAUGGAACAAUUAAUGGCACGGAAUUCAUUGGUGUCCAUGGAACAGAUUAUGUGAAUUAAAAGAUGGGGGUGGACUUGGAUAUCGUAACUUAGGUAAAUUUAAUUUGGCCCUCCUCGCGAAGUAAGGAUGGAGACUAAUUGAUAAUCCUAUAUCCCUUUUAGUAAGAACAUUAAAAGCCAAGUAUCAUCCAAAUUCUAACUUUUUAAGUUCAUAUUUACGAAGCUUACCAUCAUAUACUUGGAAAAGUAUAUGGGCUGCAAAAGGACUUCUGCUUUCAAGACUGCGACGAAGGGUGGGUAACAGGCGUAAUAUCAGCAUUGAAGAAGAUGUCUGGGUUCCAAACGUUGAUUACCUACUGAUAAAAAAACUGUCAAUAGGCAAAAUGUCACAAAGGUUGAAGAUCUUAUCGAUAGUAGGAACAGAACAUGGAGAUCUGAGAUGAUUUCAACUACCUUCUCUGAAGAGGUUGCGCAAAAGAUUAUGCGAAUUCCACUGGCUUAUUUUUCUCAUAAAGACUUUCUAAGCUGGAGGGGCGAGGCAUCUGGAGAAUAUACGGUGCGCAGCGAAUACAAGAUUCUUUUACAAAGAAAUAAAAAUUAUAGGCCAAAUGAGAUUAACAGAUGUUACAAAAAACUCUAGAACAAUGACCUCCAUUCAAAAAUUAAUAUUACAGCUUGGAUAGCUACCCUCAGCUAUCUCCCUACUCUAGUAAACCUAAGAACUAAGUGAUU
rnacentral:lncRNA from 1 species